AAUUAAAAACCUAAUCUGCCCUAGCUUUCUUAUUCGACCGCGCGAUCUCUUUACUCUCCGCGCGUCUCUUCUUCCUGCGAACAAAUUACUUCUCCGUUUCUUCUCCCCGCGGCAGCCCGCCUCCUCCCCAACCUUCAACGCGCGGACGGCGACAACGACGCUGACGGCGACAACGAAGACGACACCGACAACGACGACGACGCUGACGCCACUGCUUCCAUUCUAAGAAGAUCUUCGCUGCCGCUUUCGUUCGCACCUUAACCAAGCAAACGUUGGCCCAAAAUUGGCAAAGCCAGCCGACCACAUACCACCAUACCAAUCAUAG